AUUCUGAUGAUACUUCUAAUACUUCACAGAAGAAGAGCAUCUCAAAUAGAGCUGGAUGUCUUGGAAGAGAACAGAGAUUUCAGGACAAAAGUCAUUGCCGCAUGGUUUGUGCCACUCACUUUGAAUUCACAGUGAAUGUGUCACAAAGCACAGGGAUAUUUUUGCUCUAUAUAAAGUAAUGUGCAUAGGAAUGGUACAUUCUCCUGGUUUGAGAACAUUCACAAGCAAAAGUACUGGAAAAGCUGGAAUCUGUGGGCAUGAUGCUUAAGAUGAUCCCUGGUCUCCUGAAAAGAGCUGCUGCAUCCUUGCAAGUUAGCACAUCAGCUGUGGCAUCCAGAAGGAAAUACAGUGAUGCUCCAAGAUACUGGCACAACACCAGAUCUGGUGCAUGGAGUUCGCACAAUGCUUCUGAAAUAUGUACUGGAAAAAAGUGGCCAACAAAUGGUGUUUUUUUCUGAACACAGCAUUCUCACUUUGGACAUUCAACAAUACUCGGCAGACAAUGGAGCUGUGAUCUCUCUGGGAACCACAGUUCUUACACAGAUUCAGUUGCAAGAUUUCUCUUAGCAUCUGAACAUAUGAUUUGCUUGAAAUUUCCUUACACAUCUCCUGUAGAAUAAAACCUACAAUUGCAAUAGUCAAAUAUUUUUACAAGCUUUCCAUAGAUUUGAAAUUAUUCUUUUGUUAAUUCUGCAAUGCAUUAACCUCUAAUACGGAUGUGAUUUUUUAAAAGGGAAUAUAAAAUAUAUCAUCUGAUGCUUUGAAUGUUUCAAGAUCUCAUUGGCCAAAAUCUCACAAAUUUUACCUGACAGAAUGUACAACUGCUUCCAUGGAUGUGGCCACGUCUUUAGUUUGAGGCUCAAAUUACCACUCAAGAUCUAAUUCAUAAAUAAUUUUUAUUUUUGUUUAUAGAUGAAUAUAUUGUUAAUUAUGUUUGUCAGCUGAACUUGUGGCUCUUAUACAGUUUUAAAAACUUCAAAGUGCAUUAAAAAUAAAAUUGACUCACUCUGUUCUGUA